UACAGAGGUCUCGAGCGUUGUUCGGAUUCAUUGGGCGUAAAGGGUGCGUAGGUGGCGCUGUAAGUCGGGUGUGAAAUCCUGAGGCUUAACCUCGGAACUGCAUUCGAUACUGCGGUGCUUGAGGACUGGAGAGGAGACUGGAAUUCUUGGUGUAGCGGUGAAAUGCGUAGAUAUCAAGAGGAACACCUGCGGCGAAGGCGGGUUGCUGGGCCGACACUGACGCUGAGGCGCGAAAGCCAGGGGAGCGAACGGG
rnacentral:rRNA from 1 species